AUGCCAGCUGUAAGUGUGGUGGGAAGAGAGCAAAGAAAGAAAAGAUUGUUCUUAGUGUACAAAGGGACAUAUGUAGCCUGUUGCUCAGAGAGUAAUUUCUCUAAAUGUGAUCUCUUCUCAACAGAUCUAGUCUCACUCUUUCCACCUGAGCUGAUAAGUACUUGCCUCUCUUCAGAUCCUUGUGGAGGUUCUUGGAUCCUUGUCCCCCAUGUGAUCUGUAACAACUUAAAUACCGUUCUUUAUCUAGAAUACACUCUUGAAGAGAAUGUGGACCUAGGUGUGUACCGUUUUCUCUUUUUAUCUGUCCUUUCUGGUCUUUAAGAUCUCAUAUUCCCCUGUCUGCACAAACUGACUUUU
rnacentral:lncRNA from 12 species